rnacentral:rRNA from 1 species
CGGCGGACGGGUGAGUAACGCGUGGGUAACCUGCCUUACACAGGGGGAUAACAGUUAGAAAUGACUGCUAAUACCGCAUAACCCGCUAGGGCCGCAUGGCCCGGACGGAAAAGAUUUUAUCGGUGUAAGAUGGACCCGCGUCUGAUUAGCUAGUUGGUGAGGUAACGGCCCACCAAGGCGACGAUCAGUAGCCGACCUGAGAGGGUGAUCGGCCACAUUGGGACUGAGACACGGCCCAAACUCCUACGGGAGGCAGCAG